rnacentral:rRNA from 1 species
AUUGAACGCUGGCGGCAGGCCUAACACAUGCAAGUCGAACGAGUGGCGGACGGGUGAGUAAUGUAUGGGAAACUGCCUGAUGGAGGGGGAUAAAUACUGGAAACGGUAGCUAAUACCGCAUACCAUCAGAUGUGCCCAGAUGGGCUGAGCUUGUUGGUGGGGUAACGGCUCACCAAGGCGACGAUCCCUAGCUGGUCUGAGAGGAUGACCGACCACACUGUCACUGAGCCACGGUCCAGACUCCUACGGGAGGCCGCAGUGGUGAAUAUUGCACAAUGGGCGCAAGCCUGAUGCAGCCAUGCCGCGUGUAUGAAGAAGGCCUUCGGGUUUUAAGGUACUUUCAGCGGGGAGGCGUUACCCGCAGAAGAAGCACCGGCUAACUCCGUGCCAGCAGCCGCGGUAAUAC